AACGCACCUUGCGCCCUUUGGUAUUCCGAAGGGCAUGCCUGUUUGAGUGUCAUUAAAUUAUCAACCUUGCUCGCUUUUACCGGCUUGAGUGAGGCUUGGACGUGAGGGCUUUGCUGGCUUCCUUCAGUGGACGGUCUGCUCCCUUUAAAUGCAUUAGUGGGAUCUCUUGUGGACCGUCACUUGGUGUGAUAAUUAUCUAUGCCAUUUGACUUUGAAGCAAACUUAUGGGAACCUGCUUAUAACUGUCUUUUCGGGGACAAUCUAUUGACAUUUUGACCUCAAAUCAGGUAGGACUACCCGCUGAACUUAA
rnacentral:misc_RNA from 1 species